rnacentral:lncRNA from 1 species
UCUCCCAGCUGCCGGACCAGCGGGCCUGCUGCCUCUACCGACCAGUCCCUGCUCAGGUGUCACUUUUGCUGGCAGGCCGAGAUUAGGGAAGGAGAGUGGGCAAGGGGUCGCGGCCAGGAGGAGAAGGGCUCUACCACGCCACCCUCUUUUGGCCUCCGAACGCGGACCCCGCACACACACCCCCGCGCCUCUUUGGCAAGCGUGCCUUGUCGGCUGGGUUAAGCCGCAGUGCGUGCACAUCGAGCGGCGGGGCGCUGUGGAACGCGGGAGCGGACUAGCGGAGGAGGAUGCGGACCAAGCCCCAGCGACCCAGGGCAACUCGGAGUUACCUGGGGCAGCCUUGCGGGUCUCCAGGGAGAACCGAGGAGACGGGAGAAACACGGGAGAGGGUGGCCUUUUCCCUGUUCACACACACACGCACGCAGCCACUGGCCGGGACAGUUGACACCCAUCUUCCUUCCCUGCUCCUUCCAGUCAUUCUACACCCGGUUGGUGCUGCCAGUGCGGCAGGGCCUUGGAGCCCAAAGCGGAUCCCCACACUUGUCCCUACGGUCGGAAGGAAAGUAGAGGAGAGAAAGUCAGGCGCGGCAGGGCUAAGAGCGUUAGUGGCCCAAAUGUUCCUGGCCCGCCUGCUGCGCCACAGAGUCUGAAAAGCGGGUCUCCGUCUACCAGAAGGUGACCUCCACACAGCUCCUGUCCCCGACCAACUGCAGCACCCAAGGACUGGCAACGUGGUUGGAGCUUUUGGGGGGAAUUAUGAAGAAAUCUGAAUAAAUUUCUCACCCUUCG